UAAGGAAUAUUGGUCAAUGGGCGGAAGCCUGAACCAGCCAUGCCGCGUGCAGGAAGACGGCCCUACGGGUUGUAAACUGCUUUUGCAGGGGAAUAAACCCCCGGUUGCGACCGGGGCUGAAUGUACCUUGAGAAUAAGGAUCGGCUAACUCCGUGCCAGCAGCCGCGGUAAUACGGAGGAUCCGAGCGUUAUCCGGAUUUAUUGGGUUUAAAGGGUGCGUAGGCGGCCUUGUAAGUCAGGGGUGAAAGACGGCAGCUUAACUGUCGCAGUGCCUUUGAUACUGCAGGGCUUGAAUGCACUUGAAGUGGGCGGAAUGUGACAAGUAGCGGUGAAAUGCAUAGAUAUGUCACAGAACACCGAUUGCGAAGGCAGCUCACUAAAGUGUGAUUGACGCUGAGGCACGAAAGCGUGGGGAUCAAACAGGAUUAGAUACCCCGGUAGUCC
rnacentral:rRNA from 1 species